rnacentral:rRNA from 1 species
AUUGAACGCUGGCGGCAUGCCUUACACAUGCAAGUCGGACGGCAGCACGGGUGCUUGCACCUGGUGGCGAGUGGCGAACGGGUGAGUAAUACAUCGGAACAUGUCCUGUAGCGGGGGAUAGCCCGGCGAAAGCCGGAUUAAUACCGCAUACGAUCUACGGAUGAAAGCGGGGGACCUUCGGGCCUCGCGCUAUCGGGUUGGCCGAUGGCUGAUUAGCUAGUUGGUGGGGUAAAGGCCUACCAAGGCGACGAUCAGUAGCUGGUCUGAGAGGACGACCAGCCACACUGGGACUGAGACACGGCCCAGACUCCUACGGGAGGCAGCAGUGGGGAAUUUUGGACAAUGGGCGAAAGCCUGAUCCAGCAAUGCCGCGUGUGUGAAGAAGGCCUUCGGGUUGUAAAGCACUUUUGUCCGGAAAGAAAUCCUUGGCCCUAUACGGUCGGGGGAUGACGGUACCGGAAGAAUAAGCACCGGCUAACUACGUG